AAAGAGAUUGAGGGCCUUUUAACUGGUAGUUGGAACACAGGAAGAGUUUGUUUAUUGAAUGUUUUACCCAUUUUGGAUUGAGUUAGAGCCUGAGGAUAAUCCUGUGAAUUGUAUCUUGCUGUUUUGCCCCGGCUGACCUUGAACUGGCUCAAGGAAACCUGCCUCAGCCUCCUGAAUAGCUGGGAUUAUAGUAUGCUGCGAUGGAAACCAACGUGUCUGGAGCUAAAACUUGAUGACAUUGAAGAGUUUGAGAAUAUUCGCAAGGACCUAGAGACCCGCAAGAAACAGAAAGAAGAUGUGGAUGUUGUAGGAGGCAAUGAUGGAGAAGGAGCCAUUGGGCUUGGCAGUGACCCUAAGAGCCGGGAACAAAUGAUUAAUGAUCGGAUUGGUUAUAAACCCCAACCCAAGCCAAACAAUCGCUCAUCUCAAUUUGGAAAUUUUGAAUUUUAAAGAUGGAUUCCAUUGCAUGACAGAGCCCUGGAAUGGAAUAAAAUGAUGGCAA